rnacentral:piRNA from 1 species
UAGAAUUGGUAAGAAACAUGCUGGCUUCUC